rnacentral:rRNA from 1 species
CCUACGGGAGGCAGCAGUGAGGAAUAUUGGUCAAUGGGCGCGAGCCUGAACCAGCCAAGUCGCGUGAGGGAAGACGGUCCUAUGGAUUGUAAACCUCUUUUGUCGGGGAGCAAAAGACGCCACGCGUGGCGUUCCGAGAGUACCCGAAGAAAAAGCAUCGGCUAACUCCGUGCCAGCAGCCGCGGUAAUACGGGGGAUGCGAGCGUUAUCCGGAUGUAUUGGGUUAAAGGGGUGCGCAGGCGGAAGAUCAAGUCAGCGGUAAAAUUGAGGGGCUCAACCUCUUCGAGCCGUUGAAACUGGUUUUCUUGAGUGAGUGAGAAGUAUGCGGAAUGCGUGGUGUAGCGGUGAAAUGCAUAGAUAUCACGCAGAACUCCGAUUGCGAAGGCAGCAUACCGGCGCUCAACUGACGCUCAUGCACGAAAGUGUGGGUAUCGAACAGGAUUAGAUACCCCAGUAGUC